UUUGAAUAUCUUUUUUUUGCCGGUGAGGAAUUAUGUUUUAAAUAGUUGGAAUUACCGACUGAUAAUAUUUUGAUGAUAGAUCGACUAUCUGAGGCAUUUAAUUUUGUUUUAUUGAAAAUCACGGUUGUUUGGGCUUGCGUUUAUAUAAAUUGGGUGCUUGAUCUUUAAUAACCGUGUUUCUUUGUUUAAAGAGAUGGUUUGGAUCAACUUAUGUGAGGAAGUAUUGUAUUAUAUACGGUUGUACUACUUGUGUAGAAUUUAUGUUGUAAUGUAAGAUUACAUUUAUUGUUGGUAUAUUGUAAAUUAUAAGUUAAUAAAAAAGAUAAAAUGAUAAAAGUUACACUGAAUGAAAAAACAGACUAAAAUCGUUGAACCAUAUGAAAAAAUAGAGCAAAAAACAUUGAACCUCACAUAUAAGCUACGAUAUGUUAACUUGCAAAAUUUAGAACGAAACGUAAAAUGAAAAACUUGCGAAAGAUAAAAAGUAUAGGGGAACAAAGUUGUAAAUAAUAAAGUGUUCUUUUAAAUUAUGAAAAAUGGAAACUUUGAGUUAAAAGUAAAAAAAUUAAAAGGGUUAAAAUACAAAAUAUGAAAUGUUUGGGUUA
rnacentral:lncRNA from 1 species